rnacentral:rRNA from 1 species
UACGGGGGGAGCAAGCGUUGUUCGGAUUUACUGGGCGUAAAGGGCGCGUAGGCGGCGCAACAAGUCACUUGUGAAAUCUCCGGGCUUAACCCGGAGCGGUCAAGUGAUACUGUCGUGCUAGAGUGCGGAAGGGGCUACGUGGAAUUCUCGGUGUAGCGGUGAAAUGACGUAGAUAUCGAGAGGGAACACCUGGCGGCGAAGGCGGGUAGCUGGGCCGACACUGACGCUGAUGCGCGAAAGCCAGGGGAGCGAACGGG